rnacentral:tRNA from 1 species
AUUGAAAUGUCUGAUCUAAGGUGAUAAGCUGUAAACUUAUUUAUGAAUUAAAAAUCUUUCAAUA